rnacentral:lncRNA from 10 species
AUGAGGAAACAGACUUGGAGAGGUUAAGUGACAUGCUCAAGACAACACUGCUGGGUCUUGCUACGUACGUUGACCAGGUUGGAAUGCAGUGGCGUGAUCAUGGCUCACUGUAGCCUCGACCUCAUGGGCUCAAGUGAUCCUCCCGCCUCUGCCUACCAAGUAGCUAGGACCACAGGCGAAGCCACCAUGCCCGGAUAAUUAAAAAAUAAAAAAUUUAUAGAAA